GACGAACCGUGCGAACGUUGUUCGGAUUCACUGGGCUUAAAGGGCGCGUAGGCGGCUUGCCAAGUCAGGGGUGAAAUCUUUCGGCUCAACCGGAAAAGUGCUUCUGAUACUGGCAGGCUAGAGUGCGGUAGAGGGUGGUGGAAUUCCCGGUGUAGCAGUGAAAUGCGUAGAGAUCGGGAGGAACAUCUGUGGCGAAGGCGGCCACCUGGACCAGCACUGACACUGAGGCACGAAAGCGUGGGGAGCAAACAGG
rnacentral:rRNA from 1 species